rnacentral:lncRNA from 1 species
AUAAUGUUACAAAAAAGUAAAAUUGUUCCUGCAACGUAUAAUGUUACAUAGAACAUCAAAAUAUUCGAUUAUUCUGAGUGCAGGCAGAAGAAUAAUCUCAUUAUAAUUAGAACAACAAUGACUGGAAACACAUGCUUUAUACACAAUACUCAACAGCAAAUAAAUAGGGAACAAAGAAUUGUGCCAACUGAAUCCUACCUCUGGAUCAUCAAAAGCAGCAAAUACAGCAUCCAGAUUUACAUUUUCGUAAACGAUAAGUUGUACAGGAGUGUAAUCCUUAAGAAACCACUCAUCCUUCCUGAUUUCUACAAUUGUAAUUCGCUGCCAGGAAAAAAUGAGCAAGGCUACAUUUGUCAGAAUUUGCAACUUGAGAUGAAAAGAGUAAUUGUGGACAACUUCACCUGACAACUAUGUCAUGUAAUGCUUUCAAUUGGCACAUUAUCCAUAUUGUAUAGACAACUGGCACUAUUCUUUCAAGCUGCUGCUCUUGCACAACAUUUAUCUUCAUCAGAUUUUGGUAGCAAUGAUAAUGCGAGACUGGAUAUGAAAAUUUAUUAGAAAAUCAAAUACACAAUCCUUUAUAUAUAAUUUAGAAUAUAGGAAUAGCUAGAAUGAGUUAAGUACCUGAAGCUCUUCCAGUAUUAUACAAUAUAUUCCAAUCUUCCAUGUAAUCUCACCUGCAAACACACAGACCCACAAGUACACAUCAUCAAAA